rnacentral:rRNA from 1 species
UACGAAGGGGGCUAGCGUUGCUCGGAAUCACUGGGCGUAAAGGGUGCGUAGGCGGGUCUUUAAGUCAGGGGUGAAAUCCCGGGGGCUCAACCUCGGAACUGCCUUUGAUACUGCAAAUCUCGAGUCCGGAAGAGGUGAGUGGAAUUCCUAGUGUAGAGGUGAAAUUCGUAGAUAUUAGGAAGAACACCAGUGGCGAAGGCGGCUCACUGGUCCGGUACUGACGCUGAGGUGCGAAAGCGUGGGGAGCAAACAGG